ensembl:lncRNA
CCUCCCUUCUUCCCUCCCCCUUCUUCCUUUUUCCUUUUUUCCUCCCUUCUUCCUUUCUCCUCCCUUCUUCCUUUUUGCCUCCCUUCUGCCCUCCCCUUCUUCCAUCCCGACUAAAGUUCUUAUACCCCGCCCCUUUUUAUGCAUCACCUGUCUAAAGUUCUUAUACCCCGCCCCCUUUUUAUGCAUCACCUGUCUGUGACAAUAGCUUUGAUUCUGUCAGCAAAAUGUCACAAAGUACGGUGUGAGCUGUUUUAAACUGAAGUUAUAGCAGAUGUCAUAAUAUAUAUCUGAAGUUAUAGCUUAUUGCACUUAGGCACAAAAUAGUUUUUCCUCUCUAGUUUUAUUUAUUUGAUUAUAUUUUCAAGCAGUGGCUAUAUGUUAAAAUAAACUAAUUCUUUAAUCUGGGUAUUUAAUGUGAAUUGAGUUGAUAUAGAGUAAACCCAGGGACAAUACUGUCUGAAGAUUUAAUCAGAUAUCAGGCUGUGUGCUGAGUCUUUGUUUUUCCUUCAUAAUGAGUUCCUUACUGACGCACACACACACACACACACACACAGCCCUACUGCUAUGAUCUACGUUGAUUUUAGUUUCACAUAAAAUUGUUGUUUAUUCUACAAUCAUACUAGCCUCAUCCCAGAUCUGUUUGUGCCAUCAUGUCAACUCAUGACAGGCAGACUGGUGCCCAGGCUACAAUCCUACAGGACACAGACAGACUGGUGCCCAGGCUACAAUCCUACAGGACACAGACAGACUGGUGCCCAGGCUACAAUCCUACAGGACACAGACAGACUGGUGCCCAGGCUACAAUCCUACAGGACACAGACAGACUGGUACCCAGGCUACAAUAGUCUACAUGGCUUUCAGUACCAUUCAGUGUCAAGGGUUAUUAGGCUGAAUUGUUUGUGAAAACACCUAAAUAUAUAUUUUAAAUGCUAUAAACUAUUUUCAAAUCACCAAUCGUGUGUUCUUGUCUGUGGAUUUUGUUCACAACAGCAAAAAAUAAAAA